rnacentral:rRNA from 1 species
CCUACGGGAGGCUGCAGUGGGGAAUAUUGGGCAAUGGGCGCAAGCCUGACCCAGCAACGCCGCGUGAAGGAAGAAGGCUUUCGGGUUGUAAACUUCUUUUCUCAGGGACGAAGCAAGUGACGGUACCUGAGGAAUAAGCCACGGCUAACUACGUGCCAGCAGCCGCGGUAAUACGUAGGUGGCAAGCGUUAUCCGGAGUGACUGGGGGGAAAGGGCGUGUAGGCGGGACUGCAAGUCAGAUGUGAAAACCACGGGCUUAACCUGGGGCUGGCAUUUGAAACUGUAGUGCUUGAGUACUGGAGAGGCAGACGGAAUUCCUAGUGUAGCGGUGAAAUGCGUAGAUAUUAGGAGGAACAC